UGCAGGGACACCCUCCUGCACCUCUCCGUGCGUCGUGUCACUCCUGGAGCCUGGUCCCUGUCACUGGGGGGAUGCUGAGGAGCCUCCCCAGCCCCCCCAUUCCUGUGGUGUCACCCCCCAAGCCAGAUGCUGGCUGGUGUCACCACUGGGAUUCAGCCUCACUCAGUCCCC